UACAGAGGUCCCAAGCGUUGUUCGGAUUUACUGGGCGUAAAGGGUGCGUAGGUGGUGGGGUAAGUCUGAUGUGAAAUCUCCGGGCUCAACUCGGAAAUGGCAUUGGAAACUACCUUACUCGAGGAUUGGAGGGGGGACUGGAAUGCUCGGUGUAGCAGUGAAAUGCGUAGAUAUCGAGCGGAACACCAGUGGCGAAGGCGAGUCCCUGGACAAUUCCUGACACUGAGGCACGAAAGCUAGGGGAGCAAACAGG
rnacentral:rRNA from 1 species